rnacentral:rRNA from 1 species
UUGAACGCUGGCGGCAGGCCUAACACAUGCAAGUCGAGCGGAUGAAGGGAGCUUGCUCCUGGAUUCAGCGGCGGACGGGUGAGUAAUGCCUAGGAAUCUGCCUGGUAGUGGGGGAUAACGUCCGGAAACGGGCGCUAAUACCGCAUACGUCCUGAGGGAGAAAGUGGGGGAUCUUCGGACCUCACGCUAUCAGAUGAGCCUAGGUCGGAUUAGCUAGUUGGUGGGGUAAAGGCCUACCAAGGCGACGAUCCGUAACUGGUCUGAGAGGAUGAUCAGUCACACUGGAACUGAGACACGGUCCAGACUCCUACGGGAGGCAGCAGUGGGGAAUAUUGGACAAUGGGCGAAAGCCUGAUCCAGCCAUGCCGCGUGUGUGAAGAAGGUCUUCGGAUUGUAAAGCACUUUAAGUUGGGAGGAAGGGCAGUAAGUUAAUACCUUGCUGUUUUGACGCUACCAACAGAAUAAGCACCGGCUAACUUCGUG